AGUGUCCGCAGGCCUCGGCCCGCAAACGGACAUGCGUCCCCCAGAGGAAGGAAGGGUGUGGAGGGGAAAACGAAGGUGCCCUGAUGGGGAGAUAACGGGGCUAGAAUUCCAAGGCCCCCUCUCUCUGAUACCAGGUUCUCCAGGGAGACAGAUCUGGGCUUCUCAGCAGAGGCCGCAGCUGUGCAUUUAUCGAUGUAAACAGAGCAUGUUAGAGAUUCCCG
rnacentral:lncRNA from 1 species